UGUGCCAGGGGCUUGUUAGGCAAUGGGAAUAAGAAAGAGGGUAAAAGAGCCCCCUUUCCUCCCAGAAAGCUGUAGUUGGGGAAACAGACAAAGACACAAGUAAGUAUGCAACAUUGUGUCAGCCGGUGACAAGGAGAAAGGAAGGACGAAUAACAACAUCAAGCAUAACCCCAAAUCACACGUGUCCUGGUAAAGGAUGGACCCCGCGGGGAGACAGGAAUAAAAACCCAUCCUGGAAGGCUGCCCGACACCCUUUUUGGGGAAGGAGGUGGGACCGGACGCCAGGCAGGCAGUGCUGGCCAAGGUCAGAUGGAGUUUGCCUGUGAAUCCUCCACGAGGCUUGCCUGACGGCGCAGCGACCCCCACCUCAGCUCUCCAGUGAUGUCUGAGUUCCUGCUGCCGUGACCCGAGUGCCAGGGAUUGCUCAACAAAUGGGGACCAGAUGGAUGAUCUUCCCGAUGGGACUCAGGAGGGAGCAUUAUCUCCAGGUCAUACGGACCUCCUAAAUCACCUCCACCUUCCUGUAGCCUGGCCGGAAAGUCUAGCCCUGGGCACUUUGUCUGGUUGGCUGAGCCCAGGGUUAAUUCCACACGUCCACAUUCAUUCUUGGGGGUUGUCUUUUCCGCAGGCCCCUUGCUUGAAAAUAGAAACACCCCUGGA